rnacentral:rRNA from 1 species
AGCCAUCCUUGGGAUACCACCCUUGUAGUACUGGGACUCUAACCAUAGGCCAUGAAUCUGGUCUUGGGACACUGUCAGGUGGGCAGUUUGACUGGGGCGGUCGCCUCCCAAAAGGUAACGGAGGCGCCCAAAGGUUCUCUCAGUACGGUCGGAAAUCGUACGUAGAGUGUAAAGGCAAAAGAGAGCUUGAUUGCAAGACAUACAGGUCGAGCAAGGAUGAAAAUCGGACUUAGUGA